rnacentral:misc_RNA from 1 species
AAGUAAGCAUCUGUAGUGGGUAUCUACUUGGUGAAUAUGUUUUGUAAAUCCUGUCCACCCCCGUGGAUGGGUAGUCAUGCAAAACGUCGGACUGUCAUAAAAAUUGAAACGCUGGCACACUGUUGGGUCCUGAGGCAACACGUUGUGUUGUCACCCUGCUUGGUGGUGGGGUGUGGACUUUGACUUCGUGUUUGAUUUG